GCGACGACGGGUAGCCGGCCUGAGAGGGCGACCGGCCACACUGGGACUGAGACACGGCCCAGACUCCUACGGGAGGCAGCAGUGGGGAAUAUUGCGCAAUGGGCGAAAGCCUGACGCAGCGACGCCGCGUGAGGGAUGAAGGCCUUCGGGUCGUAAACCUCUUUCAGCAGGGAAGAAGCGCAAGUGACGGUACCUGCAGAAGAAGCACCGGCUAACUACGUGCCAGCAGCCGCGGUAAUACGUAGGGUGCAAGCGUUGUCCGGAAUUAUUGGGCGUAAAGAGCUCGUAGGCGGUCUGUCGCGUCUGCUGUGAAAACCUAGGGCUUAACUCUGGGCGUGCAGUGGGUACGGGCAGACUAGAGUGCGGUAGGGGAGACUGGAAUUCCUGGUGUAGCGGUGAAAUGCGCAGAUAUCAGGAGGAACACCGGUGGCGAAGGCGGGUCUCUGGGCCGUAACUGACGCUGAGGAGCGAAAGCAUGGGGAGCGAACAGGAUUAGAUACCCUGGUAGUCCAUGCCGUAAACGUUGGGCGCUAGGUGUGGGGCACAUUCCACGUGUUCUGUACCGCAGCUAACGCAUUAAGCGCCCCGCC
rnacentral:rRNA from 1 species